rnacentral:rRNA from 1 species
AUUGAACGCUGGCGGCAGGCCUAACACAUGCAAGUCGGGCGAACGGCGGACGGGUGAGUAAUGUAUGGGGAUCUGCCUGAUGGAGGGGGAUGACUACUGGAAACGGUAGCUAAUACCGCAUACCAUCAGUUGCGCCCAUAUGGGAUGAGCUUGUCGGUGAGGUAACGGCUCACAGAGGCGACGAGCCCUAGCUGGUCUGAGAGGAUGAUCAGCCACACUGGGACUGAGACCCGGCCCAGACUCCUACGGGAGGCAGCAGUGGGGAAUAUUGCACAAUGGGCGCAAGCCUGACGCAGCCAUGCCGCGUGAAUGAAGAAGGCCUUCGGGUUGUAAAGUACUUUCAUUCGGGAGGCGGUAUCGACCGAAGAAGCACCGGCUAACUCCGUGCCAGCAGCCGCGGUAAUUC